rnacentral:rRNA from 1 species
CCUGAUCCAGCCAUGCCGCGUGAGUGAUGAAGGCCUUAGGGUCGUAAAGCUCUUUCGCCUGUGAAGAUAAUGACUGUAGCAGGUAAAGAAACCCCGGCUAACUCCGUGCCAGCAGCCGCGGUAAUACGGAGGGGGUUAGCGUUGUUCGGAAUUACUGGGCGUAAAGCGCGCGUAAGCGGACUGGAAAGUUGGGGGUGAAAUCCCAGGGCUCAACCCUGGAACUGCCUCCAAAACUAUCAGUCUAGAGUUCGAUAGAGGUGAGUGGAAUUCCGAGUGAAAGGUGAAAUUCAUAUAUUUCGGAGGAACACCAGUGGCGAAGGCGGCUCACUGGCUCGAUACUGACGCUGAGGUGCGAAAGUGUGGGGAGCAAACAGGAUUAGAUACCCUGGUAGUCCACACCGUAAACGAUGAAUGCCAGUCGUCGGGUAGCAUGCUAUUCGGUGACACACCUAACGGAUUAAGCAUUCCGCCUGGGGAGUACGGUCGCAAGAUUAAAACUCA